rnacentral:SRP_RNA from 1 species
GCUGGGCGUGGUGGCGCACGCCUGUAAUCCCAGCUACUCGGGAGACUGAGGCAGGAGAAUCGCUUGAAUCCAGGAGGUGGAGGUUGCAGUGAGCCGAGAUCGCGCCACUGCACUCCAGCCUGGACAAUAUGGUGAGACUCUGUCUCAA